GAGGGUAUAGGUCAGUAGUAGCUUGUGUGCCUAGCAUGCACAAGGUCCUGGGUUCAAUCCCCAGUACCUCCA
rnacentral:tRNA from 1 species